rnacentral:tRNA from 1 species
GGCCUGAUGGUCUAGUGGUAUGAUUGUCGCUUCGGGUGUUUGUACCUGGAUACAGUGUAUCUGUUCUGUGACAGGCCCCGGGUUCGAAUCCCGGUCAGGCCC